rnacentral:rRNA from 1 species
GAUGAACGCUGGCGGCGUGCCUAAUACAUGCAAGUCGAGCGAAUGGAUUGAGAGCUUGCUCUUAUGAAGUUAGCGGCGGACGGGUGAGUAACACGUGGGUAACCUGCCCAUAAGACUGGGAUAACUCCGGGAAACCGGGGCUAUUACCGGAUAACAUUUUGAACCGCAUGGUUCGAAAUUGAAAGGCGGCUUCGGCUGUCACUUAUGGAUGGACACGCGUCGCAUUAGCUAGUUGGUGAGGUAACGGCUCACCAAGGCAACGAUGCGUAGCCGACCUGAGAGGGGGAUCGGCCACACUGGGACUGAGACACGGCCCAGACUCCUACGGGAGGCAGCAGUAGGGAAUCUUCCGCAAUGGACGAAAGUCUGACGGAGCAACGCCGCGUGAGUGAUGAAGGCUUUCGGGUCGUAAAACUCUGUUGUUAGGGAAGAACAAGUGCUAGUUGAAUAAGCUGGCACCUUGACGGUACCUAACCAGAAAGCCACGGCUAACUACGUGCCAGCAGCCGCAGUAA